rnacentral:rRNA from 1 species
CAGGCCUACACAUGCAAGUCGAACGAGAAGCAGGACUUCGGUUCUGUGGAGAGUGGGCACGGGUGGGUAACGCGUGGGAACCUACCUUUCGGUACGGAAUAACUCGGGAAACCGGGGCUAAUACCGUAUACGCCCCCCAUGAGAGAUUGUGGGGGGAAAGAUUUAUCGCCGAAGGAUGGGCCCGCGUAGGAUUAGCUAGUUGGGGGGUAAAGGCCUACCAAGGCUCCGAUCCUUAGCUGGUCUGAGAGGAUGUCAGCCACACUGGGACUGAGACACGGCCCAGACUCCUACGGGAGGCAGCGUGGGGAAUAUUGGACAAUGGGGGCAACCCUGAUCCAGCCAUGCCGCGUAGUGAAGAAGGCCCUAGGGUUGUAAAGCUCUUUCAGCGGGGAAGAUAAUACGGUACCCGCAGAAGAAGCCCCGGCUAACUCCGUGCCAGCAGCCGCGG